rnacentral:rRNA from 1 species
UACAGAGGUCUCAAGCGUUGUUCGGAUUCAUUGGGCGUAAAGGGUGCGUAGGUGGCGCGGUAAGUCGGGUGUGAAAUUCGGAGCUUAACUCCGAAACUGCAUUCGAUACUGCCGUGCUUGAGGACUGGAGAGGAGACUGGAAUUUACGGUGUAGCAGUGAAAUGCGUAGAGAUCGUAAGGAAGGCCAGUGGCGAAGGCGAGUUCCUGGACAGUGACUGACGCUGAGGCACGAAGGCCAGGGGAGCAAACGGG